UGAGAGCCUCACCGACCUUAGGGAAAUUACGUUUCCUCAGGAAGCAGCGCAAUGGAUGGAAGGCACAGCCUGCGGGAUAGAUUUGAUUGCUUCCUCUUUAGCAAUGUUUAUCAUUCAAAACUCGCUGGCUUUCAAAAAGGAAAUGUUUCUUCAUUGCCAAGGCUAAGAGAGCAGCUCUCCACUUAGACUUCGAGGAAUCCCUGAAAGAUGAGAAUACCUGCAAAAAAGAAAAAAAAAAAAAA